UACGAAGGGGGCUAGCGUUGUUCGGAAUUACUGGGCGUAAAGCGUAUGCAGGCGGAUCGCUAAGUCAGGGGUGAAAUCCUGGAGCUCAACUCCAGAACUGCCUUUGAUACUGACGAUCUUGAGUUCGGGAGAGGUGAGUGGAAUUCCGAGUGUAGAGGUGAAAUUCGUAGAUAUUCGGAAGAACACCAGUGGCGAAGGCGGCUCACUGGCCCGACACUGACGCUGAGAUGCGAAAGCGUGGGGAGCAAACAGG
rnacentral:rRNA from 1 species